rnacentral:sRNA from 1 species
UCCUGUCACAGGACAACAGGAGAGCUGGUGGAGUGACCAGUUUAUCACCAUCUUCUCCAAUGGCUCGAUGCCCAGGGGGCCUGUUUUUCAGGUGGCACAGAGAGGGCAAGUGCAGGUCCCCUGUGGAUCUAAGAGAGGGUCCUGGCUGAGAUGCAGAGCACAGGAGAGACCAGGAGGUGGUGGCUGGGAGCAGGGCUGGUGGGUGGUCCUUUGUGGUGUGGGCCUGACAGCAACAGACAGGAGAGUGUCACAGAAAAAGGCUGACACCAGUAGCCUACACAGCCCCUGAUGGAAGGUCUUUGUCUUCCUGCUGGAGACCACAGGCUUGUCUCUUUCCCAUGGUCUCUGUUCCUACACCUCUCUCUCCCUAGCUCUGGGAACACUCUGAUGGUCACUCUCAAGACCCUUGUCUCAGAGCCUUGGUCAUAGCAGUGAACCCAGACCGUGAAGAUCAGCCAUCCCAGGAAAGUGUCUGUGAUAGGAGCAGACAGUCAGUCUACUCACUGAGGGCAGAGACAGAUUUCAUCCUGACUCCAGCUUCCUUGACCCAGAAGAGGCUUGGAGGAUCCUGACACACCCCCUUGACCUCAACAGACUCUCUAGGAAAGGAAGGGCAAGACAUUAACUUCAAGA